GGACGAACGCUGGCGGCGUGCUUAACACAUGCAAGUCGAACGGAAAGGCCCUGCUUUUGUGGGGUGCUCGAGUGGCGAACGGGUGAGUAACACGUGAGUAACCUGCCCUUGACUUUGGGAUAACUUCAGGAAACUGGGGCUAAUACCGGAUAGGAGCUCCUGCUGCAUGGUGGGGGUUGGAAAGUUUCGGCGGUUGGGGAUGGACUCGCGGCUUAUCAGCUUGUUGGUGGGGUAGUGGCUUACCAAGGCUUUGACGGGUAGCCGGCCUGAGAGGGUGACCGGCCACAUUGGGACUGAGAUACGGCCCAGACUCCUACGGGAGGCAGCAGUGGGGAAUAUUGCACAAUGGGCGGAAGCCUGAUGCAGCAACGCCGCGUGCGGGAUGACGGCCUUCGGGUUGUAAACCGCUUUCGCCUGUGACGAAGCGUGAGUGACGGUAAUGGGUAAAGAAGCACCGGCUAACUACGUGCCAGCAGCCGCGGUGAUACGUAGGGUGCGAGCGUUGUCCGGAUUUAUUGGGCGUAAAGGGCUCGUAGGUGGUUGAUCGCGUCGGAAGUGUAAUCUUGGGGCUUAACCCUGAGCGUGCUUUCGAUACGGGUUGACUUGAGGAAGGUAGGGGAGAAUGGAAUUCCUGGUGGAGCGGUGGAAUGCGCAGAUAUCAGGAGGAACACCAGUGGCGAAGGCGGUUCUCUGGGCCUUUCCUGACGCUGAGGAGCGAAAGCGUGGGGAGCGAACAGGCUUAGAUACCCUGGUAGUCCACGCUGUAAACGGUGGGUACUAGGUGUGGGGUCCAUUCCACGGGUUCCGUGCCGUAGCUAACGCUUUAAGUACCCCGCCUGGGGAGUACGGCCGCAAGGCUAAAACUCAAAGGAAUUGACGGGGCCCCGCACAAGCGGCGGAGCAUGCGGAUUAAUUCGAUGCAACGCGUAGAACCUUACCUGGGUUUGACAUGGAUCGGGAGUGCUCAGAGAUGGGUGUGCCUCUUUUGGGGUCGGUUCACAGGUGGUGCAUGGCUGUCGUCAGCUCGUGUCGUGAGAUGUUGGGUUAAGUCCCGCAACGAGCGCAACCCUUGUUCACUGUUGCCAGCACGUUAUGGUGGGGACUCAGUGGAGACCGCCGGGGUCAACUCGGAGGAAGGUGGGGAUGACGUCAAGUCAUCAUGCCCCUUAUGUCCAGGGCUUCACGCAUGCUACAAUGGCUGGUACAGAGAGUGGCGAGCCUGUGAGGGUGAGCGAAUCUCGGAAAGCCGGUCUCAGUUCGGAUUGGGGUCUGCAACUCGACCUCAUGAAGUCGGAGUCGCUAGUAAUCGCAGAUCAGCAACGCUGCGGUGAAUACGUUCCCGGGGCUUGUACACACCGCCCGUCAAGUCAUGAAAGUUGGUAACACCCGAAGCAGAUGGCCUAACCGUUGUGGGGGAGCCGUCGAAGGU
rnacentral:rRNA from 1 species